GCCUAAGGGCAACACCCUUGGUUGAGCGUUGGCUUUGAGAGCCACAGGUCGGUGGUUCGAGCCCACCAGGGCA